GUUUAAACAUAUUUUAUUGGGGAAAGUUAUCAAAUUUUAUUUUAUUGGUGAAAUCACUGAUUAAUGUAUACCAUAUAAAAUGUACACUGCUAAGAACAAAUUUAAGAACAGGAAGGCUUGGAUUUUUAAAAGUAUAAAUCGAAAUAAAUGCUGUUGUGGAGUUUGAGUACUUUGAGCUACUUUUCAUCCAGGUGCACGUGUGCCAUUUUAACAAGUUUCACCUCCGCGCCCAGGCUUCGCCUCUGGUUGCAGGAUGGGGGCGAGGGGGCGGGGACUUUUAAAGGAAAGUGCAACUGGCUUGGGCUCGUGGCUGCCAUGGUCCAAUUGGAGCUUUGAGUUCCCAGGCUUGUCACCAAGGAGCGAACUCUCCCGCCUGCUCUCUGGGCCCUGCGCGGUGGUCCGCGGCUCGCGCUCGGGCCCGGAGCGCCCCUUGGGCCUGCUGGCGGCCACUUUCCGCGCGCCGCGUCUCCCGACGUCCCGCGAGCCAGCGGCCAGAGCGCCGACCCCGCCUCGUGCCCCCGCGCUGGCACCGCCUCCGCCCCUCCGCGCUGCCAGCCAAGGCGAGCGGGCGCGGCCGCCAGUGCCCUCCCGGCCAGUUCCCGUUCCGGGCCGGGGCGCGGCUGCUCCAGCUCUGAGCCUCCCGCAGCUGCCAGUGCUGCGAGCUCCCCGGGCCUCGGCGCUCCCCGGGCCUCGGGGCUCCCAGGUCUCCGCGCUCCCCGGGUCUCCGCGCUCCCCGGGCCUCGGCGCUCUCGCUCUGGUUCUCAGCGGCUGCGAGGUCUGCAAACGUGGAGCCCAAAAAGAAAUUGGAGACUGAAGAUUUCCGAAGAGACAGUUAUUUUAAAAUAUUUUGAUUUACUUCAAAGAAUAAUGCUGGAAACUUAAAAAGGGGCGGCACUGAGAGGCGGGCGUCCUGGAUCCUGAUUGCCCUUCUGCCAGGAAGACACAUGUAGCCAAAGAUGAAUUUGGACAAAGUAGCCGCUCGCUCCUUUAGCCAUGGAAAAGCAGGGCCACCGUGAGAUGGGAAUGAUCCCAUCAGAGCCUCACUCCCACGUUAAAUUGUUGAAAAUCAACCGGGAACUUCUGGUCACUCACAUCCGCAACACUCAGUGUCUGGUGGACAACUUGCUGAGGAACGACUACUUCACUUCUGAAGAUGCGGAGAUCGUGUGUGCCUGCCCCACGCAGCCCGACAAGGUCCGCAAAAUUCUGGACCUGGUACAGAGCAAGGGCGAGGAGGUGUCCGAGUUCCUCCUCUACGUUCUCCAGCAGCUCGCAGAUGCUUAUGUGGAUCUCAGGCCUUGGCUGUCGGAGACUGGCUUCUCCCCGUCAGAGCUCAUUCAGAGCAGAGUUGUCGUCAACACCGACCCAGUGAGCAGGUACACGGAGAAGCUGCGACAGCAACUGGGCCGUGACUCCAAGUUCGUGCUGUGCUACGCCCAGAAGGAGGAGCUGCUGCUGGAGGAGAUGUACACCGACACCAUCGCCGAGCUGGUGGGCUUCCAGAACGAGAGCCUCGGCCCGCUGGGCAGCCUGGCCAGCCUCCUGGACCACUCCACGGGCGUCCUCAGUGAGCAGGGCGAGACCGUCUUCAUCUGCGGGGACGCGGGUGUGGGCAAGUCCGUGCUGCUGCAGCGGCUGCAGAGCCAGUGGGCCGCGGGGCGGCUGGAAGCCGAGUUCAAGUUCUUCUUCUGCUUCCGCUGCCGCGUGUUCAGCUGCUUCAAGGAGGGCGACACGCUGCGCCUGCAGGACCUGCUCUUCAAGCAUUACUGCUACCCGGAGCAGGACCCCGACGAGGUGUUCGCCUUCCUGCUGCGCUUCCCCCAGACGGCCCUCUUCACCUUCGACGGCCUGGACGAGCUGCACUCGGACUUCGACCUGAGCGGCGCGCCUGACACCUGCUCCCCCUGGGAGCCCGCCCACCCCCUGGUCCUGCUGGCCAACCUGCUCAGCGGGAAGCUGCUCAAGGGGGCCGGCAAGCUGCUCACCGCCCGCACGGGCGUCGAGAUCCCGCGCCAGUUCCUCCGCAAGAAGGUGCUCCUGCGGGGCUUCUCCCCCAGCCACCUGCGCACCUACACGCGGAGGAUGUUCCCCGACCGCGCCGUGCAGGAGCGCCUGCUGGCCCAGCUGGAGGCCAGCCCCAGCCUCUGCAGCCUGUGUGCCGUGCCCCUCUUCUGCUGGAUCAUCUUCCGCUGCUUCCAGCACUUCCACAGUGUUUGGGACGGCUCUGCGCAGCUGCCCGACUGCACGGUGACCCUGACCGAUGUCUUCCUGCUGGUCACCGAGGUCCACCUGAACAGGACGCAGCCCACCAGCCUGGUGCAGCGGAACACGCGCAGCCGGACCGAGACGUUCCGCGCCGGCCGCGGCACCUUGCGCUCGUUGGGGCAGGUGGCCCACUGGGGCAUGGAGAAGAACCUCUUUGUCUUCGGCCCGGCCGAGGUGCAGGCGGCCGAGGUGCAGGAGGGGGAGCUGCAGCUGGGCUUCCUGCGGGCCGUGCCGGAGCAGAGCCUGGGCGGCGAGCAGCAGUCCUAUGAGUUUUUCCACCUCACCCUGCAGGCCUUCUUUACCGCCUUCUUUCUCGUGGUGGACGACAAGGUGGGCACCCAGCAGCUGCUCACGUUCUUCCAGGAGUGGGCGCCUCCUGGCGGAGCAGGGGCCGACUCCUGCUAUCCCCCCUUCCUCCCUUUCCAGUGCCUGAAGGGCAGCGGUCUGGCGGGGGAGGACCCCUUCAAGAACAAGGAUCACUUUCAGUUCACAAACCUCUUCCUGUGCGGGCUGUUGUCCAAGGCCAAGCAGAAACUGCUGCGGCACCUGGUGCCCGCCGCGGCCCUGCGGAGAAAGCGCAAGGCCCUGUGGGCACACCUGUUUGCCAGCCUGCGGGCCCACCUGAAGAACCUGCCGCGGGUGCAGGUGGAGGGCUUCAACCAGGUGCAGGCCAUGCCCACCUUCGUCUGGAUGCUGCGCUGCAUCUACGAGACGCAGAGCGAGAAGGUGGCGCGGCUGGCGGCCAAGGGCAUCUGCGCCAACUACCUCAAGCUGACCUAUUGCAACGCGUGCUCGGCCGACUGCAGCGCCCUCUCCUUCGUCCUGCACCACUUCCGCAAGCGGCUCGCCCUCGACCUGGACAACAACAAUCUCAACGACUAUGGCGUGCGGGAGCUGCAGCCCUGCUUCAGCUGCCUCACCGUCAUCAGACUCAGCGUAAACCAGAUCACUGACAGUGGGGUAAAGGUGCUAUAUGAAGAGCUGACCAAAUACAAAAUUCUGACCUUCUUAGGCCUAUACAACAACCAGAUCACUGAUGUCGGAGCCAGGUACAUCGCUAGAAUCCUGGACGAGUGCAAAGGCCUCACACACCUGAAACUGGGCGAGAACAAAAUAACGAGUGAAGGAGGAAAGUGCCUCGCCCUGGCUGUGAAGAACAGCAAAUCAAUCUUUGAAAUCGGGAUGUGGGGCAACAGAAUCGGUGAUGAGGGAGCCACGGCCUUCGCGGAGGCUCUGAGGAACCACCCCAGCCUGACCAACCUGAGUCUUGCUUUCAACGGCAUCUCCACAGAAGGAGGAAAGAGCCUCGCACAGGCCCUGCAGCACAACACCACUCUGAGAAUAUUCUGGCUCACCAAAAACGAACUCAAUGACGAAGUGGCAGAGAGCCUGGCGGAGAUGCUAAAAGUCAACCAGACGUUGAAACAUUUAUGGCUUAUCCAGAACCAGAUCACAGCCAAGGGGAUUGCCCAGCUGGCAGACGCCUUACAGAGUAACACUGGCAUCAUGGAGAUUUGGGGCUGACGAGGACAGUUGUAAGGACACACAGCUGCUUUCUGGAACUCUGUCAAGCUUGAAAAGGUGCGUUUGCUGCCUCUGAAGGACCACUGUUCCUACCCAAGGCAUGGUUUGUGCAGGGCCCGGUGUCUCUAGCUCCCAGGUGUGCUACCCAGAGCCGGAAGAGGGCACUUUGUGCGUGGAUGGGGGGCAGGGGGUGGACUGAGAAGGAGGCUCAGGUGCUGGCCUGGCAGCAUCUUCCCUUCAGUCCCUGGCUUGCCCCACGUGGGUGACGUCAUGGAGCGGGGUUCCGCGAAGCCCGGUCGAGGGUGGGGGUGAGGGAGCCGCUCUGACUGCAGUCACCGGCAGCACAGUGACUCGUUCUUUGGACGUCUAGUUCUGCCUCGCCCGUGGCCCAGAAGCCCUUGCAGUCUCAAGUCCCGCUGGGGGCUCUGCUGCAAAGGCAGGUCGGGUGUUUCUGACUUGACACUGUACGGCGUUCGUCACGCACGUUUAUCCUGCCAGGCGGUGUGCUGCAGACCGUGAGCUCUUUGAGGGUGGGGCCCGGGUGAUGGUGUUGGAGAAACAGAUGCAACCGGGUAAACUGGAAGGUCUAACUGGCUUUAUUAAACAAUUCAUGAGCUGGGCAGCAUCCCAUCUAGCACGUAUGGGGGAGCUCUGCUGAGCCAAAUGAGACAAAGGUUCUUAAAGGCAGAGGGCAUAAACAAAGAUGAAUUGAUUAGCAGGGAAUGUAUUGUUUUAUGCUAGGUUGCCCUCCUAAGGGGAGCUGAAGGCGUGUCUCAGCAAAUUUCCUAGCAUUGACCAGGAAAUUCUAGGUUGACUGAUGAAAGGUUCCAUUCAUUCUUCUCAGCGACUGCUCUGUGGUUCUGCGCGCCUCUGCUGACCUUUGGCAUUCUCGGGUCAUGAUAUUGGGGCUGUAUCUCCAUGCCAUCCACAGGUUACGGCUUUGGAUUUAUAUGCCUUUAAGUCGGUUGUCCUCUUUGUACCUGUUUGUUGGUCCAUUCUGAGGGAGACCACUUGCUUGGUGGUGAGCGGCUGCAAACGUGCACUGAAAAUCUGUGAUGAUGAUGAUAAUCCCCAGUGUUUGCAGGGCACUUUGAAGCCACGGUUUCCAAUCCAAUCAAAAUCCAAUAAAUCAAAGACCCCCUGGAAGGAGUCAUCUUUUUAAGGCAAGUGGCUUGUUUUGUGAUCUGCUGUAACUGAGUUUCAACUCUCCCGGAAGGGAGGCUCCAGCUGCAGGCGCCUCCUCGCCCAGCUGAACGACAGCCGAGAACAACUGUGGCCGGGAGUCGAAGGUCUUUGUGGGGCGGGUCUUGCUAGUGGCAGUUCGGACAACAUUUCAAGAAUUAAAGAGAAGUUCCUGAUCAUAGUUUCAAGCUAUUUAUCCCCGGAAGUAAGGAUCUGCCAGAAGGAGCGUUCUGAAUCAUGCAAGGCUCCUGGUAGUUCCCUUCCGACUCAGGAUGUAAAUUCACAGGAGCCGACGAAUGAUGAAAGUGCGAUUUUUCUCCUAGCCUGAAACAAAAGGGGCCUCUGAAUUCCGGAGGCUGCCCCCUGAGCGGUGGCCUGGGAGGGAAGGGGUGUUAUCUCCCCAAGCCAAUGUCAGAGGGAAGGGAAGGAAAAGAGGGCAAAUGGUGUCCUGUUGAGCUCCAGUGGGAAGUCUUGAUCCGGCGUCAUGAGCGGAGGCAGUCUAUCGGGUGGCAGCUGUUUCUCUCCCUGGUCAGGGUGUUGGUAGGUCUCCAGCGUUUGUACAGGACCAGGGCCCGGGUGGAACCUUCUUCAGCGGGGUGAUGGGGACUCACGGCUCCAUGCUCUGGUUGUGCAGCGGUGUCAGCGGUCAGGAGCAUUCUGUAAAGUCCCAAGAGCUGUUUUUCUCUGGUGCUGUUUCCAGAAUCCCUAAUCCUCAGAAGGCUCUAGACUGUGACUAACAGGACCCUUUGAACUGGGAUCCCAGAUGGUUUCUUGAAGCUGUUUGUAACAGGCUGGAGCACAAGACACCGAAGGCUCACAGUGGCUGCUCACACAGGCAUGAAACAAGGGAGCAGCAGAAGGCUGUACCCGCAUAGAGUUCCAGGAAAUCUGCAAGGUUCUCAGGAAGUGAAGAGGGUGCCUCGAUCGCUGGAGAUUUACAAGGUGAUUGAUGGGCUGUGUUUGAUAGAUGUAUAACUUCAAGGGACAGAGAAAGAAUAUACUUCUGGCAGUACUGAGUAAUCCCCCUGGGGUGUUAAGAUGGGUUCCCAAAGAGGGCGCAAAGGAUAUUUACCUUCCCGAGAUCCAGAGUCACUCCCAAAGACAGCCAAAAGACAGAACCACCGCCUGCACGUCCCAGGCAGGCAGAAAGCCAAGCCUGGUUACACAAAUGGGACAAGGAAGAGGAUGACAGCUGCCCCUGGGAGAGAGGGCAUCCACAAACGCCUAAAUGGAAACUUGAUAAAGCCAGAGGAGGCCAAAGUCUUUGAGGAUGAGAAGCGGAUUGUCUGCUUCUGAGAGGCCGCGUCCAUGUGCGGGGUCCCUGCCCCGGGAGAAGCCGCCCCGCGUAGCUGUUACAAUUUUGCAGGGCAGGAGUGUGCCCGGUGAGCCGCUGCAGUGACUAUAAAUACACUAUGAGAAGACAUAAUGCAUAUCCAGGAUUAUUUUUAUCGGACAUGAAAGGAAUAAGACUGAGCUCGAACACCGGCCCUCAGGACCAGGGAAGUGAGCUGGUCAUGCGUCUUCAUGGAGGAGCUGAGGACACGGUAGAGAGUUAGUGCCAAGCUUCCUGGAGAAAAGGUGCUCAACAAAUAAGUGUUUUACCUGGAACAUUCUCUUCCUCCUCGGUCCCUCCCCACAGGUUGACGGUCUGCCCACUUCACAGCUGUAGGUGCUGAGAUAUGCACAGUGUCGGGUUGGACGCACCCAAGGUUGUGCCAGAGCAAAGGCUCCUCGUGGGCUUCUGUUUUCGUCCUUGGGUCCCAGUGUCUGUGGACAGAGAUGACGGGGUAGCCUCUUAGCAGGUCUAAGAGAAAGGGUGGGGUCUUCAUAAUGCUGAGUUUCCACUCAGGGCUUUCUCGUGCUGGGCUGAGCUCCUCAGGAGGGCUGAUAAGGGUGGGCGCAAGUGCUCUGUGUCAGGAGGAAGAAGCCGUGCCCAUCCUCCAAAACGAGUAAGGCCCCGUUUGCCUUUGUGGCCUGAGGUCCAAACAGAAGCUUCUCUCUCUGUCUCUUGCCCUCCUGAGGAAGGGAGGUCUCUCCCUGCCCCGGACUAGUGAGGACGACUGAACUGGACUUAAGGCUGAGGGAGUUGCUGAGAACCCAGCUGGCAGAGCAUGUUACACCGACCAUCAUGGCAGGCACGUGCUGGGUGUUAAAUGGGGGAGGGGGUGGUGAUAUUACCACAUAACUUGUUCUUUUGCCAAUUCAUUUAAUAAAGUACUGAAAACAUUA